GACGAACGCUGGCGGCGUGCCUAAUACAUGCAAGUCGAGCGAAUCAAUGGGAGCUUGCUCCCUGAGAUUAGCGGCGGACGGGUGAGUAACACGUGGGUAACCUGCCUGUAAGACUGGGAUAACUUCGGGAAACCGGAGCUAAUACCGGAUCCGUUCUUUUCUCGCAUGAGGAGAGAUGGAAAGUUGGUUAUGCUAUCACUUACGGAUGGACCCCCGGCGCAUUAGCUAGUUGGUGAGGUAACGGCUCACCAAGGCGACGAUGCGUAGCCGACCUGGGAGGGUGAUCGGCCACACUGGGACUGAGACACGGCCCAGACUCCUACGGGAGGCAGCAGUAGGGAAUCUUCCGCAAUGGACGAAAGUCUGACGGAGCAACGCCGCGUGAGCGAAGAAGGCCUUCGGGUCGUAAAGCUCUGUUGUUAGGGAAGAACAAGUACGAGAGUAACUGCUCGUACCUUGACGGUACCUAACCAGAAAGCCACGGCUAACUACGUGCCAGCCGCCGCCGUAA
rnacentral:rRNA from 1 species